rnacentral:rRNA from 1 species
CAGCAGCCGCGGGAAUACGGAGGGUGCAAGCGUUAAUCGGAAUUACUGGGCGUAAAGCGUGCGUAGGCGGUUCGUUAAGUCUGUUGUGAAAGCCCCGGGCUCAACCUGGGAAUGGCAAUGGAUACUGGCGAGCUAGAGUGUGUCAGAGGAUGGUGGAAUUCCCGGUGUAGCGGUGAAAUGCGUAGAGAUCGGGAGGAACAUCAGUGGCGAAGGCGGCCAUCUGGGACAACACUGGCGCUGAGGCACGAAAGCGUGGGGAGCAAACAGGAUUAGAUACCCCAGUAGUCCCUGUCUCUUAUAC